rnacentral:rRNA from 1 species
GAUGAACGCUGGCGGCGUGCCUAAUACAUGCAAGUCGAGCGAACGGACGAGAAGCUUGCUUCUCUGAUGUUAGCGGCGGACGGGUGAGUAACACGUGGAUAACCUACCUAUAAGACUGGGAUAACUUCGGGAAACCGGAGCUAAUACCGGAUAAUAUUUUGAACCGCAUGGUUCAAAAGUGAAAGACGGUCUUGCUGUCACUUAUAGAUGGAUCCGCGCUGCAUUAGCUAGUUGGUAAGGUAACGGCUUACCAAGGCAACGAUGCAUAGCCGACCUGAGAGGGUGAUCGGCCACACUGGAACUGAGACACGGUCCAGACUCCUACGGGAGGCAGCAGUAGGGAAUCUUCCGCAAUGGGCGAAAGCCUGACGGAGCAACGCCGCGUGAGUGAUGAAGGUCUUCGGAUCGUAAAACUCUGUUAUUAGGGAAGAACAUAUGUGUAAGUAACUGUGCACAUCUUGACGGUACCUAAUCAGAAAGCCACGGCUAACUACGUGCCAGCAGCCGCGGUAAUACGUAGGUGGCAAGCGUUAUCCGGAAUUAUUGGGCGUAAAGCGCGCGUAGGCGGUUUUUUAAGUCUGAUGUGAAAGCCCACGGCUCAACCGUGGAGGGUCAUUGGAAACUGGUAAACUUGAGUGCAGAAGAGGAAAGUGGAAUUCCAUGUGUAGCGGUGAAAUGCGCAGAGAUAUGGAGGAACACCAGUGGCGAAGGCGACUUUCUGGUCUGUAACUGACGCUGAUGUGCGAAAGCGUGGGGAUCAAACAGGAUUAGAUACCCUGGUAGUCCACGCCGUAAACGAUGAGUGCUAAGUGUUAGGGGGUUUCCGCCCCUUAGUGCUGCAGCUAACGCAUUAAGCACUCCGCCUGGGGAGUACGACCGCAAGGUUGAAACUCAAAGGAAUUGACGGGGACCCGCACAAGCGGUGGAGCAUGUGGUUUAAUUCGAAGCAACGCGAAGAACCUUACCAAAUCUUGACAUCCUUUGACAACUCUAGAGAUAGAGCUUUCCCCUUCGGGGGACAAAGUGACAGGUGGUGCAUGGUUGUCGUCAGCUCGUGUCGUGAGAUGUUGGGUUAAGUCCCGCAACGAGCGCAACCCUUAAGCUUAGUUGCCAUCAUUAAGUUGGGCACUCUAAGUUGACUGCCGGUGACAAACCAGAGGAAGGUGGGGAUGACGUCAAAUCAUCAUGCCCCUUAUGAUUUGGGCUACACACGUGCUACAAUGGACAAUACAAAGGGCAGCGAAACCGUGAGGUCAAGCAAAUCCCAUAAAGUUGUUCUCAGUUCGGAUUGUAGUCUGCAACUCGACUACAUGAAGCUGGAAUCGCUAGUAAUCGUAGAUCAGCAUGCUACGGUGAAUACGUUCCCGGGUCU